AAGCCAUGCAUGUCUAAGUAUAAGCAAUUAUACAGCGAAACUGCGAAUGGCUCAUUAUAUAAGUUAUCGUUUAUUUGAUAGUACCUUACUACUUGGAUAACCGUGGUAAUUCUAGAGCUAAUACAUGCUGAAAAUCCCGACUUCGGAAGGGAUGUAUUUAUUAGAUUCAAAACCAAUGCCCUCUGGGCUCACUGGUGAUUCAUGAUAACUCUUCGAAUCGCAUGGCCUUGCGCCGGCGAUGGUUCAUUCAAAUUUCUUCCCUAUCAACUUUCGAUGUUUGGGUAGUGGCCAAACAUGGUUGCAACGGGUAACGGAGGGUUAGGGCUCGACCCCGGAGAAGGAGCCUGAGAAACGGCUACUACAUCCAAGGAAGGCAGCAGGCGCGCAAAUUACCCAAUCCCGACACGGGGAGGUAGUGACAAUAAAUACUGAUACAGGGCUCUUUUGGGUCUUGUAAUUGGAAUGAGUACAAUUUAAAUCCCUUAACGAGGAACAAUUGGAGGGCAAGUCUGGUGCCAGCAGCCGCGGUAAUUCCAGCUCCAAUAGCGUAUAUUAAAGUUGUUGUGGUUAAAAAGCUCGUAGUUGAACCUUGGGCCUGGCUGGCCGGUCCGCCUCACCGCGUGUACUGGUCCGGCCGGGCCUUUCCCUCUGUGGAACCCCAUGCCCUUCACUGGGUGUGGCGGGGAAACAGGACUUUUACUUUGAAAAAAUUAGAGUGCUCCAGGCAGGCCUAUGCUCGAAUACAUUAGCAUGGAAUAAUGAAAUAGGACGCGCGGUUCUAUUUUGUUGGUUUCUAGGACCGCCGUAAUGAUUAAUAGGGACAGUCGGGGGCAUCAGUAUUCAAUUGUCAGAGGUGAAAUUCUUGGAUUUAUUGAAGACUAACUACUGCGAAAGCAUUUGCCAAGGAUGUUUUCAUUAAUCAGGAACGAAAGUUAGGGGAUCGAAGACGAUCAGAUACCGUCGUAGUCUUAACCAUAAACUAUGCCGACUAGGGAUCGGACGAUGUUAUUUUUUGACUCGUUCGGCACCUUACGAGAAAUCAAAGUGCUUGGGCUCCCAGGGGGAGUAUGGUCGCAAGGCUGAAACUUAAAGAAAUUGACGGAAGGGCACCACCAGGGGUGAGCCUGCGGCUUAAUUUGACUCAACACGGGGAAACUCACCAGGUCCAGACACAAUGAGGAUUGACAGAUUGAGAGCUCUUUCUUGAUUUUGUGGGUGGUGGUGCAUGGCCGUUCUUAGUUGGUGGAGUGAUUUGUCUGCUUAAUUGCGAUAACGAACGAGACCUUAACCUGCUAAAUAGCCCGUAUUGCUUUGGCAGUACGCCGGCAUCUUAUAGGAACUAUUCGCUCAA
rnacentral:rRNA from 1 species